rnacentral:rRNA from 1 species
GAUGAACGCUGGCGGCGUGCUUAACACAUGCAAGUCGAACGGAAAGGCCCAAGCUUGCUUGGGUACUCGAGUGGCGAACGGGUGAGUAACACGUGGGUGAUCUGCCCUGCACUUCGGGAUAAGCCGGGGAAACUGGGUCUAAUACCGGAUAGGACCACUUCUUGGAUGUUGUGGUGGAAAGUUUUCUCGGUGUGGGAUGAGCUCGCGGCCUAUCAGCUUGUUGGUGGGGUAAUGGCCUACCAAGGCGUCGACGGGUAGCCGGCCUGAGAGGGUGUACGGCCACAUUGGGACUGAGAUACGGCCCAGACUCCUACGGGAGGCAGCAGUGGGGAAUAUUGCACAAUGGGCGCAAGCCUGAUGCAGCGACGCCGCGUGGGGGAUGACGGCCUUCGGGUUGUAAACUCCUUUCGCUAGGGACGAAGCGUUUUUGUGACGGUACCUGGAGAAGAAGCACCGGCUAACUACGUG